GUGAGGAAUAUUGGUCAAUGGGCGCGAGCCUGAACCAGCCAAGUAGCGUGAGGGAUGACUGCCCUAUGGGUUGUAAACCUCUUUUGCAGGGGGGUAAAGUGGUUCACGUGUGGACCAUUGCAAGUACCCUGCGAAUAAGGAUCGGCUCACUCCGUGCCAGCAGCCGCGGUAAUACGGAGGAUCCGAGCGUUAUCCGGAUUUAUUGGGUUUAAAGGGAGCGUAGGCGGGGGUUUAAGUCAGCUGUGAAAUGCCGUGGCCCAACCAUGGAACUGCAGUUGAAACUGGACCUCUUGAGAGUACAUAAGGAAGGCGGAAUUCGUGGUGUAGCGGUGAAAUGCAUAGAUAUCACGAAGAACUCCGAUUGCGAAGGCAGCUUUCCGGGGUACAUCUGACGCUGAAGCUCGAAAGUGCGGGAAUCAAACAGGAUUAGAAACCCGAGUAGUCC
rnacentral:rRNA from 1 species